rnacentral:rRNA from 1 species
UACGUAGGGGGCAAGCGUUGUCCGGAUUUAUUGGGCGUAAAGAGCGUGUAGGCGGAUCGUUAAGUCGGGGGUGAAAUCCUGGAGCUCAACUCCAGAACUGCCUUCGAUACUGGCGAUCUUGAGUCCGGAAGAGGUGAGUGGAACUCCUAGUGUAGAGGUGGAAUUCGUAGAUAUUAGGAAGAACACCAGUGGCGAAGGCGGCUCACUGGUCCGGUACUGACGCUGAGGUGCGAAAGCGUGGGGAGCAAACAGG